rnacentral:rRNA from 1 species
UACUCCCGGAAGAAGCACCGCUACGACCACAACACCCGGCACAGCUGCCCCAAGCUCUAACCCAGGACCCCGGCUGCGCUCGACCACCUGUACGGGCGGCCGAAGCGGAAGAAGGUCCGGCGGUUGUGGCGACAGAGGGCGCUGGGCGAGAAGCAGUUGUGACGGCAGAGCGAGGAGGUGAGAAGGGAGUGGAGGUGGAGUCGUAUAAGACGAUUCACGAAAAGUACACCGAUGAAACGAAUACUGGUUAACCUAUACUAGACGAUGGUCGAUAUGUCACCUACCUAAGGACCUUAAGAGUACGUAGUGCAAUAAGACGAGUAAACGAAAUACGACCGAGACAUAGCCUUACUCUGUUAGUUGAUGGACUAAGAGUGAGAAGACACGCUCAACCUAACCUCGUAUAAGACGAAACACGAAAAGCACACCGGUGCAACGAAUACCGGUUAACCUAUACGAGGCGAUGACUGAUAUGUCACCUACCUAAGGACCUUAAGACGACGUAGUGGAAUAAGACGAGUAAACGAAAUGCGAUCAAGACAUAGCCGUACACUGUUAGUUGAUGAAUUAAGAGUGAGAAGAUACGCUCUGGUACAUGCUCUUAGAGGCAGUCCACCACCGAGGAAGUCAGACUUUGGUACAUGCUCUUAGAGGCAGUCCACCAUCCGGAUUGCAGUUCCUAUGGACUCAUUGAAAGAUCUUCAGAAGACGUGCUUCCAUGUCCGAAGGUUCGUGUUCAAGGUCUAUAUGUAUGUUCUCCCUCACUCUCGAGGUGGUCGGUUGGCACAACCCCUCCAUCUUCUACUUGGUCGACCACGAGCGGUACGUUUUCACCUUCUACUGGGCCUAUGACUACAACUAGAAUACUUCUAGAGUAAGAGUGCAGCUGUACUAAUACUUCUGUAACUAUAACUUUGCCCCCCGUCACCGUCGCUACUCUACCUUCCCUGUCGGAAGCAAAGAUCUGUAUGUCGCUUAUGUCUACCUGUCCAAGGCCGUCAAUUCUCUUCACCAUACUGUGAUCUCGGCCCCGGCUUCUGAGAUGAUACUGUGAUCUCACUCCCGGCUUCUUGACGCUUUAACGUAUAGAGUAACAAUCUGCAUUGUUGUUCACACAGUCGAAAUUUUGUGCGUGACGGUAGAGCAUCUCUUCGAGAGUCAUCAGUCACACACUAGUCUAUCUACGGCUACUAUCAAAUACACCUAUCGAUUCGACUACUCGACUAAUUAAGUCUGGUUUAGACCUCUCCGUACUUGUUACGGAAAGUACGAAGAACUUGACCUGACGAAGGUAGUCACUAAAGGUGGUAAAACACAGACGUCAAAGAAAGAAUUACUUAACCACGCCGUAGGAUGGAGCAGAACUAAAAGAACCCACGAUAAACAAAGCCUAUCUACGAUCGCUAUACCUAUGGAUUCGACUACUGACUAAACAAGUCCGAUUUAGACCUCUCCGUCCUUGACUUACGACGAAAGUACUUGCAAAAGGCGGUUAAACAAGUACCCACAGAGUAAACCCAAAGAAAAACGAUCAGAAUACUACUACAACCAUACUAAGAAAAACAUUGAGCUACUACACCUUAUGAAUACUACGCUGGACAUUAAGGGGACGGGGACGAAAGACACAAGUAAAGUCAGUGACGAGUGGUACUUAAUAGUG